rnacentral:lncRNA from 1 species
CAGUGUCAGUGCGCUAGAGGGGCCGUCUCACCUCCAAAGGUGUCUUCACCCCCGGAGGGCCCAGGCUUCCCGUCGCGGCCCAACACUGGGCCCGCGCGCCCAAGAGGAGGUGCUCCGACGGCAAAAAUCCCAUACAUUUUUAACUACAGUGAUUACUAAAUUAAUAGCAGGCACUAAGACAGAUGUCAAAACGUCUUGAAAAUGUUUAUCUGUGAAUAAUUGAGAAGGUGGUGGGACGCAUUAUCUGAUUGUGUAAUGAAAUAUGUAUGAGGAA